UGCGUAGACGGUAUGUUAAGUUCGUUGUUAAAGGCUCCGGCCUAACCGGAGUACCGCAAUGAAAACUGGCGUGCUAGAGGGUGAGAGAGAGAAGUGGAAUUCCCGGAGUAGCGGUAAAAUGCGUGGAUCUCGGGAGGAACACCAAUGGCGAAGGCAGCUUCUUGGCUCAUUCCUGACGUUGAGGCACGAAAGCGUGGGGAGCAAACA
rnacentral:rRNA from 1 species